rnacentral:rRNA from 1 species
UACCAGCACCCCGAGUGGUCGGGCCGAUUAUUGGGCCUAAAGCAUCCGUAGCCGGUUCUACAAGUCUUCCGUUAAAUCCACCUGCUUAACAGAUGGGCUGCGGAAGAUACUAUAGAGCUAGGAGGCGGGAGAGGCAAGCGGUACUCGAUGGGUAGGGGUAAAAUCCGUUGAUCCAUUGAAGACCACCAGUGGCGAAGGCGGCUUGCCAGAACGCGCUCGACGGUGAGGGAUGAAAGCUGGGGGAGCAAACCGG